UACGGGGGGGGCAAGCGUUGUUCGGAAUUACUGGGCGUAAAGGGCUCGUAGGCGGCCAACUAAGUCAGACGUGAAAUCCCCAGGCUCAACCUGGGAACUGCGUCUGAUACUGGAUGGCUUGAAUCCGGGAGAGGGAUGCAGAAUUCCAGGUGUAGCGGUGAAAUGCGCAGAUAUCAGGAGGAACACCGGUGGCGAAGGCGGCUUGCUGGGCCUUACCUGACGCUGAGGAGCGAAAGCGUGGGGAGCGAACAGG
rnacentral:rRNA from 1 species